AGAGAGAGACAUGCGCGCAUAUCAAUAAGCGGAGGAAAAGAAACUAACAAGGAUUCCCCUAGUAACGGCGAGUGAAGCGGGAAGAGCUCAAAUUUGAAAUCUUAAAGGGUUUCCCUUUACGAAUUGUAGUUUAAAGAAGUGUUUUCUGUUGAGGUUUUGGUAAAAGUUCUUUGGAAUAGGACAUCAUAGAGGGUGAGAAUCCCGUAUUUGACCAUUACUUUCCAACUUUGUGAUACACUUUCAAAGAGUCGGAUUGUUUGGGAAUGCAGUCCAAAAUGGGUGGUAAAUUUCAUCUAAAGCUAAAUAUUGGCGAGAGACCGAUAGCGAACAAGUACCGUGAGGGAAAGAUGAAAAGAACUUUGAAAAGAGAGUUAAACAGUACGUGAAAUUGUCAAAAGGGAAGCGUUUGACACCAGUGUUGUUUUUCUGAAAAUCAAUUAAAGAACUGUUUAUGCUAAGCUGUUUAGACUUUAUCAGCUAACUGUUUAGUUUUGAGCUUUUCUUUAAUGCACUUUUCAGUUAACAAGUCAACAUCAAUUUCUUUUGCUGUAAAAAAGCUUGAGGAAGGUGGCUUGAGAUUCGUCUUAAGUGUAUAUAGCCUCUUGCCUAUGCAGUCGGAGAGAUUGAGGUCUGCAGCGUAGAUCCUUCGGGGCUAAAUGCAUUUGUGCUAAGUUAUAGCAUUUUAUAGACAACUUGUUGACUAUGAUUUGUCUUGUAGCUUACUCGCUUAUGUUAUUUUACCUACGCUUAGGAUGUUGAGCGCAUGUCUCUCUCU
rnacentral:rRNA from 1 species